rnacentral:pre_miRNA from 1 species
CAAGUACUCCCACCGUCCGGAAUUACUUGUCAUCAAAAUGGAUGUGUCUAGAACUAAAAUACAUCUAGAUACAUCCAUUUCAAUGACAAGUAUUUUCGGACGGAGGGAGUACAAG